GUAACUUUAGUUUAUUGGGAGAAUAUUGGUUUGUCUAACCAGGGGAAGCGUUGAGGCUAAGUUGCU
rnacentral:tRNA from 1 species